GUCUGCUUCGCCGGCGGCGAGAUUUUCCAAAGUCGGGAUUAGGGUUCAGACGCGAUUGUGUUUUGCUUUCAUCAGUCUUCCGAAUUUUUUAUGGCGUAUCCAUAAUCGAACAUGGUACUUUGUUGUUAUCCGGGUUGCAGUAACCGUUCCACGUUUGCUGGCAAAGCAUCUGGCAUAACAUACCACCACUUCCCUCGAGAACCGUCUCUACGAUUGUCGUGGGAACAUGCGAUCGGGAGACCAGACUUUGUGCCAACAAAACACAGCGUGGUCUGCUCGAAGCACUUCAGAAACGAAGACUUCGACAGAACUUCGCUAACACGGGUCCGUCUACGUGAAGGUGCUGUCCCCAUUCCUUCGCUGCAGGUUCAGCAGUUGCUUGGGAAGGAGCCAGAAGUUGCUGGAGUGAGCGAUCCCGAACCCAGCGCACAAGAG